rnacentral:rRNA from 1 species
UACGUAGGGAGCAAGCGUUGUUCGGAUUUACUGGGCGUAAAGGGCGCGUAGGCGGCGCGGUAGGUCACUUGUGAAAUCUCUGAGCUUAACUCAGAACGGCCAAGUGAUACUGCAGUGCUAGAGUGCAGAAGGGGCAAUCGGAAUUCUUGGUGUAGCGGUGAAAUGCGUAGAUAUCAAGAGGAACACCUGAGGCGAAGGCGGGUUGCUAGGCUGACACUGACGCUGAUGCGCGAAAGCCAGGGGAGCAAACGGG